GGGACUGUAGCUCAGUGGUAGAGCACUUGCCUAGCAGGUGUGAGACUCUGGGUUCGAUCCUCAGCACACAUA
rnacentral:tRNA from 1 species